rnacentral:lncRNA from 1 species
GAAAAGGUGAAAGUUAGAACAAAAGAGCGAAAAAUGACCAAAGUGAAAGUUUAGGGACCAAGUUACAAAUAAUCUAAAGGUGAGACAGGCGAUGGAAUGAUGAUUUGAGAAAGUUAGGAGUCAAUGGGGGUGCAAUUAGAAGUCCAAAGAAGUGAAAUAUGACCAUAACAUAUUCACAAAUCAAAUUCCAACCGCAUGAGGAUUUUUUAGAUUUUUGGCUGGAGAUUGCGAUCAACUUUUGACCUAGUAAACUUUUGAAUUUGGAAGAGCUAUUCUAGAAAAAUUGUAGCCCUUUGUGUUAUCUUUACAACGCACUUUGAAUUGCCUUAAUCGAAUAUCGGGAGAGAAAGUUAUGGCCAAAAUAUUGAAAGCAGUAGCAUAGAAUAAAUUCUGGCUGAAAAUUUAGUUUCCUUAAUUCGUCCAACCUGUUAUGGAAUCACGUUUUGGCACUCGCUUUUAACCCUAUUCCGCCCUGAAAUUUUUAUUAUUCAUCUCCUAUCAAUUUUUUCUCAAGUUUGGUUCAUGAAAUCCAUGAAGAACUAAAUUCCUAGGUGAAGCUAUGAAGGAACUCAUUGGAUUUCGCUACUUCACAUCAAUUAUUCAUGCAAACUGGUAAUUUUAUUUUCAAACACUUCUAGAUCUAGAUUUUCUUUCAUGAAAUUGCUUGGAAUUGAUUUAACUUUUACUAUAUUCUUU